AGCCGAGCAGGGGCAUCGCCUUGUGCCGCAGAAAGAACGUCCGGUCAUAG
rnacentral:sRNA from 1 species